rnacentral:rRNA from 1 species
GACGAACGCUGGCGGCGUGCUUAACACAUGCAAGUCGAACGGAAAGGCCUGCUUUCCCUAGUGGAUUGCGGGUACUCGAGUGGCGAACGGGUGAGUAACACGUGAGUGAUCUGCCCCCAACUUGGGUAUAAGCCUGGGAAACUGGGUCUAAUUCCCGAUAGGACUGCAGGGUGGUGCCUGUGGUGGAAAACGAUUUUCUAGUGGUUGGGGAUGAGCUCGCGGCCUAUCAGCUUGUUGGUGGGGUAAUGGCCUACCAAGGCGACGACGGGUAGCCGGCCUGAGAGGGUGGACGGCCACAUUGGGACUGAGAUACGGCCCAGACUCCUACGGGAGGCAGCAGUGGGGAAUAUUGCACAAUGGGCGGAAGCCUGAUGCAGCGACGCCGCGUGGGGGAUGACGGCCUUCGGGUUGUAAACUCCUUUCGACCGCGAGGAAGCCACCUGGUUGGAAGGGUGGUGACGGUAGUGGUAGAAGAAGCACCGGCUAACUACGUG